UUAAAACAAAAUUUUAUGCCCUUAUUUAUUCCUAGGAUGAGGGGAGAACAUUUUUGCUUUCUUACAUAGCUCUCUCUGAAAUGUGCAGUAACAAGUUCCUCAAAAAUAAAAUUUUUACCUUCAAAGGAAAAAAAAAAAAAAAAAAAAAAAAAACUGUUUCAUUUUACCAGAGACAUAUGCUGGAGCAUUGUCACUUUAUUUGUACAGGUAUAUCCAUGAUGGCUAUAACUUCUAGCAAAUGAGUGGUUACAGAAUCAGGCCCAUCCUGCCCCAGACUUCCCUUCUGGACCAGAGAUGAUGGUGUGGCAGCAGCCAGAGGAUGAGGCCCAGAGAAAGCCGAAAGGGAAGAACUACAGAGCCAGCUGUUUGUAUGGAGGAACGUGCAAAAGCAGCUAAUUCCAGCAUGUUUGGAGCCUGUGCCUGGGGAGUUUGCUGUGAAGAGGCUGCAAUAGAAACUUAGUCAGCAGGAAUCAAACAAAUCAUCAGGCUUGGUGGCAACUGUUAUUAUCCACUGAGAGAUCUGAUUGGCCUUGUUAUUUUUAAUAAAAGGAGUGAGACUCAUCUGUUGACUGAAUACUUGAAAGAAAAAACAGGUUUUCUGGAAAAGACAAUAUUUUUUAUUUUCCUCAAGACUAAAGCAUUAGCUUCUGCCUGGAUUUGCAAUCCACUUUCUUAUCCUGUAAUUUUCAGACUCAAAACUAACUCUUGCUGCCUGCUUGUCUGCCCCAUGGAUUUCAGACCAGUCCUCAUAGUCAGAGGAGUUAUUUUCUUAAAAUAGAUUUUUCAAUUCAUAGGUGAUACCUGUCGUAUUUGUUUUAUCCCUUUAAGAACCCUGAUGAAGACAAUUGGAAUGGACAUGUGGGCACAACAUUCAUGUCUUUCAGCUUCCUGAAAAUAUAAACAACAUAACCAGCAAUGUUACACUCUUACCACCAAGAUUCCCCUGCCAUGACACACUGAUCCUCCCAAACCAGGAGCCCCCAGCAGAAGCUUCUCCUUCCUUAGCUUCCUGUGUCAGCUAUGCUGUCAUAGCAUUGGGAAGAGUACUAAUACAGGCCGUAGAGGAUAAAGUAAAGAACAGGCGGAAACAGAAGAAUAAUGUUGACAGAGACGGAAAAUCUGAGAAUCAAAAGGAAAUAUUAGAGAUAAAAAAUACUGUGAUUGAAAUGAAGAAUGACCUUGGUUGGCUAAUAAUUAGACUUGCGACAGCUGAGGAAUGAAUCUCUGAGCUUUAUUUAGGUUAUGUCAAUAGAAACUUCCAAAGUCCAAGACCAAAGAGAAGAGGACCAAAAAUGAUGGAACAACUACCUAUGGACUGCAAAUAUAAAGACUACGUAUAUCAAAGAAGAUAUGUAUACAUAUCUUUUGAUAUAUAUAUACAUAUCAAAAGAUAUAUAUAUAUAAAGAUAUAUAUAUAUAUAUAUAUAUAUAUCAAAAGAAGAGAAAGGGAGAAGAGAAUAGAAACAGUAAUUGAAGUAAUAAUUAUUAAUCGUUUUCCCAAAAUUAAUAUCAGAGACCAAACCACAGAACCAGUUAGAGUAAGGGUCAUUAAGCAGAAUAAAUACAAAAGCAAGCAACAAAACGACCCCCAAACAAAAACCCAAAGGGUGGGGGCACACUGCACCUACUUGUACCAUGUUGCAGUUGCAGAAGUCAAAGGCAAAGAAAUAUUCUUGAAAAACAAUUCCUGAGGGUAGAGAACACUUACUCACAGAGGGAUGAAGACAGCAGUUGCACCUGGAUUUUGAGAACCCUUGAAAGCAUGAAAAGAAUGGAGUGAAUAUUUGAUGUUAAGAGAGAAAGAACUCAACAAUCCUGGACACUGUGGAAUUCGCCUCAGUCCUGAAGGAGAAAUAACAACCUUUUCAGGCAACAAAACUUGUAGAACUGUGUUGUCAGUAGAUACACAACUAGAAACAUUAAAGCAAGAUCUUCAGAGGGAAGGGAAAACAUACAGGUGGGCAGUUCUGACCCAAAGAAAGAAGGGAAUAGUAUCAAGAGGGAACAAGUAGGAGAAAAACAAAGCUCUUAUUUCUUUCAUUCUUACUGACCUCUAACUUACAAUAGUUUGUUAAAAAAAAUGAUAAUAGCAACUAUGUACUUGAUCAUAUAUGGUUGUGUGGGCACAUAUUAUUCUUACAGUGCUUAUAUAAGCUUAUGUAUAAGUAAAAAUGAAUGAUAUCAAUGAUAUGAAUGAUGGGAUAAAGAAUUAAGAAUACACCAUUAUAAAGUAUUUGUGCUAUGGCAGUGGUGUAGUAUUAUUUGAAAAUGGGCUUGGUUGGUUGUAGGUACACAUUACAAGCUUUACAAAGUGCAAAAAGAAGUCUAACUGUUGUACUAAGAGAGAAAGUUGUGUGAAAUAAAAUGCUCAACUUCAACCUCACCAAGCAGAAGAAGAAUAGAAGAAAAAGUAAGAACAAAGAAUGAGAUCCAUAAAUAGAAGAUGUCAGUGGACAGGACAGUCUUAAUCUAGAUGUGCUGGCACGCACCUUACCCUUCUGCAGCCUGAAAGGCAUCAAUUAAAAGACAUGUGCCAGUGUGGAUAAAAAACACAGUCUCACUGUUUGCUGUCUAUAGAAAGCCCCUCUGAUAUACAAAGACACAUAUAGGUUAAAAACAAAUGGAUGGAGGAUGGUUUCAAAACAAAUCACAUUAGCAAUAUGUCUGCUGCUAGACUAGAUGUCAUACAGGGAAUGCUGUCACAAACUGGGAACCUCAGUAUUCCAUGACGGCUUGCUGGUGGCACCCACAUUAGUACUUAUUUUUUCUCUUUCUAGUUGCAUGGUGAACUUCUGAGGCUCGGUUUCUUAAUUUGUCCAGUGGUCAAGCCUUGUCCACAGCACUGUGUACUGUCAGUAAGUGUGUCUGCACAUAGCAGAUGUUUAAAGGGAUGGGGUUGUUUUUGGAGUUCUCAAAUACCUUUUAGUUUUUCUCUAACUCAAAGUUCCCGGCAGAGCAAGACCAAGUGAAUGAGGCAGUCAGCAAUGCCUUCCACCGUGAAAAUCUUCCCAUGAUAUGAGGUAAGUAUAUCAGGGAAAACUCAAGGAUCAUAAGAAUACUUUCAACUAUCAACAAUCUCUUGAGCUAGCUAUAGCAAUUAACUAAAUUAAUAUUAACAAAGAAAUCAAGUGACUUCCAAGACAAUGUUAAAGUAAAUUGUUUUUUUUUUUUUUUAAUCACACACAGACCUUCCAAUUACUUUAGGCAUUCCAGCCAUCUUGCAACCAUUGUAUUAUUUAAAGAUAGAUAAAUAUAUUCAGUCUUAGAGAAACCAAAAGUAACAGGAUCUGUCUGGUCAUCCUGUCUUUGUUCAUUUCCACAACAGAGUAGACACAACUGCACAAGGCUCAGAUUCUUACAGAAAACACAUUUGGGAUUGACUUUGUCUUAAAAAUAAGCCGAAGCCCCAUGAAACUAUGUGUAUGUGUAAAACAGUCUACUGAACAUAAAAUUUCAUAUUUUGGGAGGUGAAACUGUAAUUCUUUGAUGUUAAAAGAUUUUCAAGUUUUUGAAAUAUGCAUAUAGAAUGAUAAUAUAAUCAUUUAAAAACCACAGACAUUACUUUAUUCUAUGAACAAGGCUCAAUAUUGUUAAGUCUAUAAGGCUACAUAUCAACAGGAGAAUGUCUUAAUAGUGGCUCUGCUCCAUGUAGUGCAUAUAGCGCAAAGUGUGUCAUCUGAACUGUAUGAAGAAGACACAUGUAUUAAGCAAACUUUCAUUGUCUAUCUGGUGUUAAGCUGGGUAAAUGAGCAGAAUGUACAGGCCAUAUGGGAAUAUGUGUUAUUUCAUGAAGAGCAGGCGAUUUCUGUUCUUUUUAGAGGACAUACUGGUCAAGGUCUAUGCCUGUGCAACUGAGAUAGGUUCUUACUCAGCAGGACUUUGCCAUCAACAUGUAGUAUAUAGUUGAUGAACUUAAACUUUCUAUAAGAGCAAAGAAAGUAAAAGACCCAUCAUGAGACAUGCUCAAGUGGCAGGACCAGUGGACACAUAGCUGAAAUGAUCUGAAGGAUAAGGGUCACACUGCACACCACGGUCUGCUCUGAGCAAACCCCAAGUGUGAAGACUUUGCUUUUAAAAACAGACUAGAUGCUACGAACUAAAUAAUUCUGGGGCUGUUGAUAUGAAGAGAGGCAUUACUCAAUGAAGGUCAUGAGUUCACCGGAUAAAUGAAGUAAAGCUGGUGAUAUGAGUGGCCAGGCUCAGAGCCAGAAGAAUGUGCCUGAAAGACUAUGGAUAGAAACAUAAUUGUGUGGGGCUGAGAGGUGGUGCUGAGAGAUGAAGAGAACCGAGAAAAAGGGCAGUGACUCAGUUGGGAGGCUUAGGAAGCCAGUCUAUGAACAAAGGGCAUGGACCGGUCCCUGCCUUCAUGCGGGGCCAGCAAGUGCUCUCCAGGCUCAAGAGCCCUUGAAAGGCACCAUUCUGCCAGGCCAGGCUCAGAACCAAAUGGAAUUGUGCUUCUCUCCUCGGCUUGAGUAGGUACCACUUCUUGAAAGCUCAAUUUUCUUGCUUCCAUUCGUGAACUUUCAUCACUGUUUUAACAAAGACAUGCUUUUAUUUUCUUUAUUUACACCGACAUCUUUACCUUGUGCCCAAACACUUCUUUCUGGUUUGUACUACUCCUGUGACAAACAGGACAUCUUCCUUAACCCUUCAGCCACUCACCAACAAACAAAUUAAAAUGGAAAGACAUAGUAUUUUUUGAGGCUGGGGAAUGCUGUCACUAAAAAAACCAAAACAAAACUGGACAGCAAUCUCAUGAAUUAAAACACCUUUGUUUAGAACACAAGACUGUCAUUCCUAAGAUCCUUCAACAAGAAUCUGUUAACUCCCUUCAGAUGAUUUCUGUAUUCUGUUCACGUGCCUGUAGAAUGUCUGCCCACUGUUCUGGGAGUGCAUCCCCACUGCAUCAUCUCUGGUUGGGGGAGAAAGUAUCUAGUCUUUGAGUCUCCACCUCAUGUCAGCUUUCCAACAGAUGCAUGGCUGGUGUGAUAUUUGCUGAUGACCCAUUACUAGGAAGUGAAUGAUUUUCAUGAGAAUGUUUUCACUAUCUUGACAAUCUUGAAAUGAUGUUUUGUGACUCAUCACUGAUACCAGAAGAAUUUUUUUUAAUAAAAUGUUUUAUAACUGACCUUUGAGCUUUUUCUAUAUAUUCCCUUUUGGUAGAUGUUACUCUGGAGUUACUGCACAAGUUGUCUAAAGCUUUCUUCAAGUAGAACACUACCACAUAGUCUAGAAGAAAAUCUGAGUCUCCUCUUUUUUCUUAUACAUUCAAAAACAUUUGGAUUAUAUUCCACUAUUGGAGGA